rnacentral:rRNA from 1 species
CCUACGGGUGGCAGCAGUGAGGAAUAUUGGUCAAUGGGCUCGAGCCUGAACCAGCCAAGUCGCGUGAGGGAAGACGGUCCUAUGGAUUGUAAACCUCUUUUGUCGUGGCGCAAAAGACGCCACGCGUGGCGUUCCGAGAGUACCCGAAGAAAAAGCCUCGGCUAACUCCGUGCCAGCAGCCGCGGUCAUACGGAGGAUGCGAGCGUUAUCCGGAUUUAUUGGGUUUAAAGGUUGCGCAGGCGGAAGAUCAAGUCAGCGGUAAAAUUGAGAGGCUCAACCUCUUCGAGCCGUUGAAACUGGUUGUCUUGAGUGAGCGAGAAGUAUGCGGAAGGCGUGGUGUAGCGGUGAAAUGCAUAGAUAUCACGCAGAACUCCGAUUGCGAAGGCAGCAUACCGGCGCUCAACUGACGCUCAUGCACGAAAGCGUGGGGAGCAAACAGGAUUAGAUACCCCUGUAGUC